rnacentral:rRNA from 1 species
CAUAGGUUAAUGAGGCGAACCGGGGGAACUGAAACAUCUAAGUACCCCGAGGAAAAGAAAUCAACCGAGAUUCCCCCAGUAGCGGCGAGCGAACGGGGAGCAGCCCAGAGCCUGAAUCAGUGUGUGUGUUAGUGGAAGCGUCUGGAAAGGCGCGCGAUACAGGGUGACAGCCCCGUACACAAAAAUGCACAUACUGUGAGCUCGAUGAGUAGGGCGGGACACGUGGUAUCCUGUCUGAAUAUGGGGGGACCAUCCUCCAAGGCUAAAUACUCCUGACUGACCGAUAGUGAACCAGUACCGUGAGGGAAAGGCGAAAAGAACCCCGGCGAGGGGAGUGAAAAAGAACCUGAAACCGUGUACGUACAAGCAGUGGGAGCACGCUUAGGCGUGUGACUGCGUACCUUUUGUAUAAUGGGUCAGCGACUUAUAUUCUGUAGCAAGGUUAACCGAAUAGGGGAGCCGAAGGGAAACCGAGUCUUAACUGGGCGUUAAGUUGCAGGGUAUAGACCCGAAACCCGGUGAUCUAGCCAUGGGCAGGUUGAAGGUUGGGUAACACUAACUGGAGGACCGAACCGACUAAUGUUGAAAAAUUAGCGGAUGACUUGUGGCUGGGGGUGAAAGGCCAAUCAAACCGGGAGAUAGCUGGUUCUCCCCGAAAGCUAUUUAGGUAGCGCCUCGUGAAUUCAUCUCCGGGGGUAGAGCACUGUUUCGGCAAGGGGGUCAUCCCGACUUACCAACCCGAUGCAAACUGCGAAUACCGGAGAAUGUUAUCACGGGAGACACACGGCGGGUGCUAACGUCCGUCGUGAAGAGGGAAACAACCCAGACCGCCAGCUAAGGUCCCAAAGUCAUGGUUAAGUGGGAAACGAUGUGGGAAGGCCCAGACAGCCAGGAUGUUGGCUUAGAAGCAGCCAUCAUUUAAAGAAAGCGUAAUAGCUCACUGGUCGAGUCGGCCUGCGCGGAAGAUGUAACGGGGCUAAACCAUGCACCGAAGCUGCGGCAGCGACGCUGAUGCGUUGUUGGGUAGGGGAGCGUUCUGUAAGCCUGUGAAGGUGUGCUGUGAGGCAUGCUGGAGGUAUCAGAAGUGCGAAUGCUGACAUAAGUAACGAUAAAGCGGGUGAAAAGCCCGCUCGCCGGAAGACCAAGGG